rnacentral:miRNA from 1 species
CAGAAGAGUAGAUUGAUUGGU